rnacentral:lncRNA from 1 species
UUUCCUUGUCCAUUAAUCUAACAUGUCUUAUGGUAGCCUUACUGUGUAAAAAAUGAGUUUUUCUUAUCAUUGGCAUUCUCAUGAUAGAUAUAUGUUCAUUAGUUCAUAGUGUUAUCUUUUAUCUUAUUUCAUUAUUUUAUUAGAUAUCUUGUGUUAGUAGUAUUUCAAUUAGUUCAUAUCUUCCUCUAUGUGUUGUUACCGUUAAGAAUGGAUGAGCUCAUGUUCGCCUACUGACUUUCAUUGGAAAAUUUGCUCUCGAAUAAUUUUGUAUCACUCUUGAUUAAUUCUUUUCAUUUACUUUGUUUACAUGUGAUGCUUCGCCGAGUCUAUUUGGACUCUUCCCAUUGCCUCUUUGCAUUUUCGAGUAACGAGUCAACCCUUCGGUGUUCAAGAGCGAAAUGGGAUUGACGUAUAGGUGUUUGGAGCCGAUAUACGAGAUUAUAUACACUAGUAUACACCUAGUGUAUACGAAAAUGAGGAAAUGGGCCUAAAGUCCCCGAAAUUCGAUUUUGUAUUUUGUUGGGCCUAAGCCUUUUUAUUUUAAGUACUAUUAUCUUGCUAGAACCUAGGACAAGUGGAAGAUGGGUCCAAAGCCCAAAGAAAGACAUCUUUCAAGAUUAGUUUAGGACAAGUAUAUUGGGCCUUUGGUCCCAAAACCAAAAAUUGGGCCCAAGUGCUAGCCCAGGCGGAC